rnacentral:rRNA from 1 species
AUUGAACGCUGGCGGCAUGCCUUACACAUGCAAGUCGAACGGCAGCACGGGAGCAAUCCUGGUGGCGAGUGGCGAACGGGUGAGUAAAGUAUCGGAACGUGCCCAGUCGUGGGGGAUAACGUAGCGAAAGUUACGCUAAUACCGCAUACGAUCUACGGAUGAAAGCGGGGGAUCGCAAGACCUCGCGCGAUUGGAGCGGCCGAUAUCAGAUUAGGUAGUUGGUGGGGUAAAGGCUCACCAAGCCGACGAUCUGUAGCUGGUCUGAGAGGACGACCAGCCACACUGGGACUGAGACACGGCCCAGACUCCGACGGGAGGCAGCAGUGGGGAAUUUUGGACAAUGGGCGCAAGCCUGAUCCAGCCAUGCCGCGUGCAGGAUGAAGGCCUUCGGGUUGUAAACUGCUUUUGUACGGAACGAAAAGGUUUGACUUAAUACGUUGGACUCAUGACGGUACCGUAAGAAUAAGCACCGGCUAACUACGUGCCAGCAGCCGCAGUAA